GAGAGAAGGCAGGGCUGAAAUACGGUGUGGCCAUGGCACAGGCUCCUUCCCACAGCUUGGCUCAGCAGGAUGGUUAGAUUUCCCACGCGUCAAAAGAAUGCUGAGGAAGCCCGCUGAAUAUGGACUCCAACGGUGCCCUAGGGGAUGGUGGAGCCACCAGAUGGAAGGAGCCUGGUGAUCCCGAGAAGGAGAGAUGCCUCGCUGACCUGAACAUCUUUCCAGAACUGUUAAAUGAAGCCUGCAGGACACCAGCUGACAGUGGAAGGACUGAGGAAGGUUGUAUAAUUUUGUGCAAGGUCCACCACAAAUCCAGCUGAAGAACUGCUCCAAAGUUUAGGUCAUGGCAAGAACAAGACUGGAUCACUCCAUGUCAGUGGAAACAUGUCCACCAACUUCAUCAUUGUCUGUUGUCAUGGUUCACUUUAGAUGUAAACUUGACUGGAUUAAGGAUUCCCUAAAGUGUCAGGCCUCUGAGCCCAAGCUAAGCCAUCAUAUCCCCUGUGACCUGCAUGUACACAUCCAGAUGGCCGGUUCCUGCCUUAACUGACGACAUUCCACCACAAAAGAAGUGAAAAUGGCCUGUUCCUGCCUUAACUGAUGACAUUAUCUUGUGAAAUUCCUUCUCCUGGCUCAUCCUGGCUCCAAAGCUCCCCCACUGAGCACCUUGUGACCCCCACUCCUGCCCACCAGAGAACAACCCCCUUUGACUGUAAUUUUCCUUUACCUUCCCAAAUCUUAUAAAAUGGCCCCACCCCAUCUCCCUUUGCUGACUUUCUUUUCAGACUCAGCCCUCCUGCAACCAGUUGAUUAAAAGCU
rnacentral:lncRNA from 1 species